GGGCCUGUAGCUCAGCUGGGAGAGCGCCUCGUUCGCAAUGAGGAGGUCGUCAGUUCGAUCCUGAUCAGGUCCACCA
rnacentral:tRNA from 2 species